UUCUUUGUAUUGGGUACAAAACUUCCUUAUGCUGAGGCAUGGAAUACAUUGAAUAAAAAGUCCUUUGGAGCCAGGCGCCAGUGGCUCAUGCCUGUAAUCCUAG